GUCUUAUUGAAUAAUAAUAAUAAGUCGAUUUCUGCCCAUUGAAUAUAAUUUUUAAAAGGCUGCGGUAUAUUAACUGUACAAAGGUAGCAAAAUAAAUAGUUUUUUAAUUGAAAACUUGAAUGAAAGAGUUGAUAAAAUAUAAAUUGUUUCAAAUUAAUUAUAUUUAAUUUAAAUUAAAAGUUAAAAUGCUUUUAUAUUUUUAUUAGACGAUAAGACCCUAAGAAUUUGAUUUUUUAGUUUUUAUUAUAAUUUUUAUUAUAAAUUUAAUAUGAAUUAAAUUAUUUUAUUGGGAGGAUAAUAAAAUUUUUAUAAACUUUUAUUUAUUUUGAAUAUUAAUAAAUAAAAUUUUUAAUGAUUAUUAUUAAGAUUAUUAGAAUAAAUUACCUUAGGGAUAACAGCGUUAUAAUUUUGGAGAGUUCUUAUUGAUAAAAUUGUUUGCGACCUCGAUGUUGAAUUAAAAUAAAAUUUAAAUGAAGAAAUUUAAAAUUUUAGUCUGUUCGACUAUUAAAAUUUUACA
rnacentral:rRNA from 1 species